GAUGAACGCUGGCGGCGUGCCUAAUACAUGCAAGUCGAGCGAAUGGAUUAAGAGCUUGCUCUUAUGAAGUUAGCGGCGGACGAGUGAGUAACACGUGGGUAACCUGCCCAUAAGACUGGGAUAACUCCGGGAAACCGGGGCUAAUACCGGAUAACAUUUUGAACCGCAUGGUUCGAAAUUGAAAGGCGGCUUCGGCUGUCACUUAUGGAUGGACCCGCGUCGCAUUAGCUAGUUGGUGAGGUAACGGCUCACCAAGGCAACGAUGCGUAGCCGACCUGAGAGGGUGAUCGGCCACACUGGGACUGAGACACGGCCCAGACUCCUACGGGAGGCAGCAGUAGGGAAUCUUCCGCAGUGGACGAAAGUCUGACGGAGCAACGCCGCGUGAGUGAUGAAGGCUUUCGGGUCGUAAAACUCUGUUGUUAGGGAAGAACAAGUGCUAGUUGAAUAAGCUGGCACCUUGACGGUACCUAACCAGAAAGCCACGGCUAACUACGUGCCAGCAGCCGCGGUAA
rnacentral:rRNA from 1 species